AAAAAAAAAAAAAAAAAAAAAAUGGGUUGCCAACACAAAAAAAAUCAGGUGACCUCACAUUUGUGGGAUGAUGCCAUCAUUUUGAUAGAGAAGCUGCACGCAGUUGGCUGGAAGACUUUGCUCCUGGUGGAAUAUCCACACAAGAAGGCCAAAAUGAUCUUACCUAAAGAUGAAUUGUUGAGCAAAGGUGCACAGAGAUGUGUGCAAAACAUUUAUGAAAUUUUUUAAAUGAUGGUUGAAGUGAAUCCAGAACAGGCAACAGACAGUAGCCAUGAGCCUGAGGAGGCUACUGUCACUCUAAAUUUUGAAAUAACGAACCCAUUAA